GCCCAGACUCCUACGGGAGGCAGCAGUGGGGAAUAUUGCACAAUGGGGGAAACCCUGAUGCAGCAACGCCGCGUGGGUGAAGGAGUAUUUCGGUAUGUAAAGCCCUAUCGGCAGGGAAGAAGCAAGACGGUACCUGACUAAGAAGCCCCGGCUAACUACGUGCCAGCAGCCGCGGUAAUACGUAGGGGGCGAGCGUUAUCCGGAUUCACUGGGUGUAAAGGGAGCGUAGACGGCCAAGCAAGCCAGGAGUGAAAGCCCGGGGCCCAACCCCGGGACUGCUCUUGGAACUGCGCGGCUGGAGUGCAGGAGGGGCAGGCGGAAUUCCUGGUGUAGCGGUGAAAUGCGUAGAUAUCAGGAGGAACACCGGUGGCGAAGGCGGCCUGCUGGACUGCGACUGACGUUGAGGCCCGAAAGCGUGGGGAGCAAACAGGAUUAGAUACCCCAGUAAUG
rnacentral:rRNA from 1 species